ACGAACGCUGGCGGCGUGCUUCACCCAUGCAAGUCGUACGGUAAGGCCCUUUCGGGGGUACACGAGUGGCGAACGGGUGAGUAACACGUGAGUAACCUGCCCACAACUUUGGGAUAACGCUAGGAAACUGGUGCUAAUACUGGAUAUGUGCCCCUGCUGCAUGGUGGGGGUUGGAAAGCUCCGGCGGUUGUGGAUGGACUCGCGGCCUAUCAGCUUGUUGGUGGGGUAGUGGCCUACCAAGGCGGCGACGGGUAGCCGGCCUGAGAGGGUGACCGGCCACAUUGGGACUGAGAUACGGCCCAGACUCCUACGGGAGGCAGCAGGGGGGAAUAUUGCACAAUGGGCGCAAGCCUGAUGCAGCAACGCCGCGUGCGGGAUGACGGCCUUCGGGUUGUAAACCGCUUUCAGCAGGGACGAAGCUUUUUGUGACGGUACCUGCAGAAGAAGCACCGGCUAACUACGUG
rnacentral:rRNA from 1 species